GGUCGGAACCGGAACUAUGAGCGAGAAAGCAAGUUCCAGCCGAGUCCUAUUCUGUGUAGCACUCAGUCCUCUUUCCUCUUGCCCCCCCCGUGGUUACCACGGUAACGGAGUCGUUGGAGAAGCGAGGAGAGGGGCAAGAUGAUGCUCUCCCGGGCCAAGCCGGCCGUGGGGGGCGCCCCGCCGCAGGGCGACAAGCGGAAGAAGAAAGGCAAGAAAGUCCCGCAGCUGGAGGAACUGUUGGCCCAGAGGGACUUCACCGGCGCCAUCGCCCUGCUGGAGUUUAAACGUCAUGUUGGGGAACAAGAUGAGGACACUGACCUCUGGAUUGGAUAUUGUGCCUUUCACCUGGGGGACUACAAGAGAGCAUUGGAGGAAUAUGAGGUUCUGAGCAAGCAAUCGGGUUGUAACCCGGAUGUCUGGGUGAAUCUAGCAUGCACAUACUUCCUCUUGGGGAUGUAUACACAAGCUGAACAGGCAGGAUUGAAAGCACCUAAAAGUCGACUCCAGAAUCGUCUGCUCUUUCAUCUAGCACAUAAGUUCAGUGAUGAAAAAAAGUUGAUGAGCUUCCACCAGAAUUUGCAGGACAUCACAGAAGAUCAGCUCAGUCUGGCAUCUAUCCACUAUAUGCGGUCCCACUACCAAGAGGCUAUUGAUAUCUACAAACGCAUACUGCUUGAUAACCGGGAAUACCUGGCUCUCAAUGUAUAUGUGGCUUUAUGUUACUACAAGCUGGAUUACUAUGAUGUGUCACAAGAGGUGCUGGCUGUUUACCUUCAGCAAGUUCCUGACAGCACCAUAGCUCUAAACCUCAAGGCUUGUAAUCACUUCCGACUGUACAAUGGCAAGGCUGCUGAGGCAGAACUCAAGAGUCUGAUGGACAAUGCCUCAUCAUCUUUUGAGUUUGCUAAGGAGCUCAUUAAGCACAAUCUGGUCGUGUUCCGAGGAGGGGAAGGGGCUCUGCAGGUUCUGCCACCGCUAGUUGAUGUUAUUCCUGAAGCCAGAUUGAACCUGGUGAUUUACUAUCUUCGGCAGGAUGACGUGCAGGAGGCUUAUAAUCUGAUUAAGGACCUGGAACCUACAACUCCACAGGAGUACAUACUCAAGGGAGUGGUGAAUGCAGCCCUUGGACAGGAAAUGGGCUCAAGGGAUCAUCUGAAAAUUGCUCAGCAGUUCUUCCAGCUGGUGGGUGGAUCAGCUAGUGAAUGUGAUACGAUCCCAGGGAGACAGUGCAUGGCCUCCUGCUUUUUUCUGCUCAGACAGUUUGAUGAUGUCCUGAUUUACCUCAACUCUGUCAAGAGUUAUUUCUACAAUGAUGAUACAUUUAACUUUAACUAUGCCCAAGCCAAAGCUGCCACUGGCAAUACCAGCGAGGGUGAGGAGGUGUUCCUCUUAAUCCAGAGUGAGAAGAUCAAGAAUGAUUAUGUUUACCUUAGCUGGCUGGCUCGUUGCUAUAUCAUGAAUAAGAAGCCUCGACUGGCCUGGGAGCUCUACCUGAAGAUGGAAACCUCAGGAGAGUCCUUUAGUCUCUUGCAACUCAUUGCGAAUGACUGCUACAAGAUGGGCCAGUUUUACUAUUCAGCCAAAGCUUUUGACGUUCUGGAGAGACUAGAUCCUAACCCUGAAUAUUGGGAAGGCAAGAGGGGUGCCUGUGUGGGCAUCUUCCAAAUGAUCUUAGCUGGCCGAGAACCAAAAGAGACUCUGCGGGAAGUGCUGCAUCUCCUAAGGAGCACUGGUAAUCCUCAGGUAGAGUAUAUCAUCCGCAUCAUGAAGAAGUGGGCCAAAGAGAACAGAGUGCCUGUCUAAAACAGCACCACCAAGAAAAUCAGGUCAGCUGCCCUCUUUUUGUGCAUAUCUAGAGGGCAUGGAACUUAGCCCUCUCCUCUUCAUUCACCCCACCUGCCUGCCUGUGCGCGACAUGUGUGUGCGCGCGCGCACACACACACACACACACCCCCCUCUCAUCUUUGUAGUCUUAGCCCUCUCCGUUCACCCUACCUGCCUGCCUGCGUGCACGCACACACACACCCUCUCAUCUUUGUAAUCUUCUUUCAGGGCUGGUUUACACACAUACCGCACGCACGCACACCCCAUCUGCCCCUCAUCUUUGUAGUCUUCUUUCAGGGCUGGUUUAUCGUUAAACAUGACUGCCAAACUCUCAGAUGGAGCAAGAAGAGUACCACAGUUGGACUGUAAAAAAAUUUCCAUGAGUUUGCUAAGGAGCAUUUCUUUGAACAGAAAAGGGGGAUGAAUUUCAUGCUCUUUCCAUCCAAAUCUUAGUGGCAUUUUUUUUGUUCUACACCAAUCUCAGUGUCUAGUCCAAGGAUUUUCAACCUUUUCCAUACUUUGAUUCCAACAUUCAGCAACUCAACCUGCCUCUCACAUGCACUCCAGAUUCCUUUGUACCAACUCUAAUAGUACUGCAGAAGAUAUACUGUGGCAGUUGGAGAGGAUCAGACUGUUUGUCAAUCGCUAUCAUAGGACUGGAAGUUAACCUCCUCAGUGGUUAACUGUCGUGUGUUUGCUUGACAGUUUUGCUCAGCAAAUAUUCUGCUGUGUUUCAAGGGGGUCUGAACAGGGAACUGUGGAGAAUCCUUUUCAGGACAUAGCACUUAAUCCUAAAGAAGGUGAAAUUAUAAGAAAAAGGCACAAUGGAUACGAUGUAGAAACACAUUGUAGUGUUUACAGUACAUAAGAUUUGUACAUUAUUUGUAAAGAAAAACUGCUUAACUUACAAAGUAUUUUUGUACCUUGCUAGAAAGUAUUUAAUUUAACACUAUGCUACUUGAUUAAUACUUAUACUUGGAUUUUCUGUACUUUGAUUAAAAAUUAUACUUGGAUUUUCAGUCUAACUUCUUGCUUGGCUUUGUUGCCUCAUUAUGAUGAGGCUGGUAAUUGAGAUGACAAAUUUAUUUCACUUCAGAAGUGGGCAGAUGUGUAAAUUGACUGAAUGCCAAAUCAGCAUUUCAUGGUCAGAUGAAGAUGAACCAUGUUAAAGCAGCCUGACCCAAGAGCCUAUGUACUUACCUUUGAUGUUGGAUUCUGAAAUGAGGGUAGCUGGAUAACCCUUAUAUUUGUAAGUGGUGUUGGUUCUGCUUUUUCUUACUCCCGAAGAGAUUCUGAAUUCUCCCCAGCUUCUAAAGAAUAGGCGCUUAUCUUUUAAGAUAUCAGUAGGUCUCUGCUGGAGAUAAGGAACUUCAUUUACCUUUUAUCAUCUUACUACAGCAGAAGCAAAGGUAUUUCUGCAGCAUGCCCAAAUCUUCAAACAAGAACUUCUACCUGUAUCACAAUGUGAUGUCUGGAAUGAUUUGAGAGGCUGUAGGUCACCUGCUUUUAUACAAAAAUAAGAAAGGAUUCCAUUUUAAGGACCCCAUCAUGAUAGUGGUACAAAUAAAGUUCUCAAACUGACAGGAACAAGGGUAGUGUCACCAUGUUGCAAAAAGAGACCACAUAAAAUGCUGUCACCAAAGGCAAUUACAUAAAACAUUCAAUUUGUAAGAGAUAUUUUUAUUUUCCUUGACAGUCUAAUUAACUUGAAAACAGUUUGGAAUGGCUGCUGUGGGUCUUGGUUAAAGCUACAGAAAAAUCAGUGUGGUGACUUUGUAACAGAUGUUAAAUGCAGCUAAUCAUUCUGUUCACUGAUGCUUAAUCAGCAGAAAAGCCUGAGAACCCCCAGAUCCACUGCUAAUCUUUAACAAGUUAGGUGAAUAUCCCACAGCAACACAUUUUAAGGCACUGUAGACUGGUAGACAACAAUAAUUAAAUCAUAGGACUGGAAGAGACCUUGAGAGCUCUUUAAUCUAGACCCGGCACCCAAGGCAGGACUAAGUAUUACCUAGACUGUCCCGGACAAGUGUUUGUCUAACUUGCUCCUAAA